rnacentral:misc_RNA from 1 species
GUUUAGUUCAGCCAGUCGCGUCGUUCGGUGCAGAGUCGCGUCCCGGAAUUUUAGGGAAUACCGCUCGCAUCGCUCUCGAGCCUCGAGUUUGCAUCAGCGAUAAUUUCUCGCCUUAUUCGCCAGCUAUUUUCCGAAGGAGCAAACCGGGAUUUCCCCUUUUCCAUCAGCUUCCCCGACUCAUCCCAACUCCUUAUAGCCGCUCCUCUUUUCGUCACCCGGUGUUUGGCGCUCUCGCCGCUGUUACCACGGGUAAAAGCCUGAAAUUUUCGACCCUGGAGGGUGAUACGAACGAAAAUUCACCGGGCAACACAAAAAUGGAAGUUAUGGACGCCCUGACCCCCGUCAUUUCGACGCCUUCGACGCCGGCCGUCGAGGUCACCGAGGAGGAUGGACCCACCGUCGAGGAAUCGUACGAAGUUACAACCACCCGCCGAAAGACGGUUCGCACAAGCUACAAAAUUCAGGAAACGUCCGCGUCGACAAAAACAACCACCAUGACAACGGCAGCUAAGCUGUACGGCAAAGACCUCAGCGAAUAUGACGAUGUGGAUGUGGACGAUCUGCUGUCACAGCUUUCGCCCGAGGAAAUAAACAUACUUGCAAAGGAAGUCGAUCCAGAUGAUAGUUUCAUGCCUCCGUCGCAACGUUGCAGUUAUGAAUGUGAUAAAGAUCCAACAGGGCCGUUAAACCGCAAGAAGCUCAUCGAUCACAUCAACAAACAGGCUUUAGAGACACCUGAUAUCCCAGAGUUGAAGCCAUAUGUGCCCGGAACUGUUCGUGGGAAGAAAUGGAUUCCACCACCGCAAGAUAAUCAAAAAGAAAAGGAAGCAGAUGAACAAAUUGCAAUAGAUCUUGGAGAUGAAUAUGAACAGGCUCUUUCCGCCGCAUCUCAAGAAGAGAUCAUCGAUCUCGCUGCCAUCCUCGGUUUUCACUCGAUGAUGAACCAGGACCAGUACCAUGCCUCCCUACUAAACUCUGGCCAACCUGUCGGACUGGGGUGGGACGGUAUUACGAAGGCAAGCCAACCCAAAGUAUUUCCCAUGGAACCUCCAAACAACACAGACGUUGAUGCAACGAUUAAACAAGUUCACGACGAUGAUCACAUGUUGGCGGAUCUGAAUUGGAAUAAUAUUAAGAACAUCUCAGACGAAAAGUUCAUUCAGUUGUUCGAAGCAUUGGAGAUCAACACACACCUCGAAGCCUUGAGUUUGACAAACGUCGGGCUAACCGACAAGACUGCACUCAGAUUAGCUGACGCCAUCGAAAAGAAUUCGACCCUCAGAGUACUCAAUGUUGAAACAAAUUUCAUCAGUCCGUCUGUGAUAGUAAGGCUCAUCAAGGCUCUUCUUAAAACAAAAUCCAUCGAAGAGUUCAGAUGCUCAAACCAGAGAUCACAAGUACUGGGCAACAAAAUUGAGAUGGAAAUAACGCAGUUGGUUGAGCAGAAUCCGAUGCUCCUCCGGCUCGGUCUUCACCUUGAAUUUAAUGAUGCCAGGCACAGAGUCGCCGCUCACCUACAGCGCAACAUUGAUAGGACAAAGCACAUAAGGGAAGAAUAGAGUAGUUUAAAUCGUACGGCAGUCCCGGGUCGGGGCAGCGACAUCCUAGUGCGAUGAGGCGUUCGCCUAGACCGUUUACGCCGCACAGGGAGGGCUUCUCGUAACUACACUAUAGGCUGGGCAAUGCACUAGGAACAUGAAGGAAAAUCUUCGCCAUCAUCCGCUGUCUUGGUAUUCUUAUAUCGCAGUUCGACCGCUUCAAACUUUGUCGAAAAGCGAAACGAAAGAGAAAAAAGAGAAAAGCUUGCCUCGAAGAAUCAUGGUGUAAAAAUUUGAUGUUAUAUCGAGCAACUCACGGCUGAUGUGGUUUCCACAAUUUCACGAAAGAUAUUCGGUAUUUCGAGGCUGUGGUUGGAGAGACCGAGUCGUUACUGCGAGAAACCAUCGUUGUCUUGUGAAAAAUGAAAAAUUUGAGAACAAGGGCGAAAAAGGAACCGAGGCUUAAUCUUCCGAAGAUCGCAAAGAUCGGUGCAUCGGGUUCUUCGAGACCAAAGAGAUGCGGAUUAUAUCCUACCGAAGAAUGGCGUCCUACGCCCAGAAGACCUAAUGCCUAGUUGGAAUGGAAACGGCGUCGGCGAAGAAAUAUAAGAAAAAAAAAAAAAAAACAAAAACAAAUCGUAGUCUUUUCAUAGAAUCUUGAAUAUUUAAUAAUCCUGCAAUUCGCUUCCGGAAAAUUAGGAUGCAGUACGCAAUCGUAAUUUGUCUUGCUUAAUCGUCCAGUAUUUCUGGUGUCUGCCAUCAAGCUUACGUCGUUUUAAUUAUUUAUUUUUAAUUUUUAAUCUUUUCCUUUGAAGAGAGAGAGAGAGAGAGAGAGAGAGAAAGCGAAAGAAAGAGCGGGAGGGAUAGAGAGUGAGGGUUUGUGUGUGUGUGUGUCUGCGUGAAAGAGAGAGUGAAAGCGAGAGAUAGAGUUGAGAGAGAGAGAGGGAGAGAUAGAGAAGUUCUCCUUGGUCGUGUAUGGCGUCAAAAUAUAAGCGCAACUUUUGACUGCAGUGUCGCUUUUUUUUUCUUUUUAGCUGUAGCUUUAAAACGUAUACGUCAUUUUUUUUUUUUUUUUUUCUCAAUUCUUAAGCCAUUAUAAAUUUUCGGCAGUACACUGCCAGUUUUUUGAAACCACGCGUUCUAAAAAGCGAGGAGACGGAGUGGAAAUUAUAAGUGGAUAUUUAUAUAUGACAGUUCGCGGCUUCGCCUGUCGUAUUGGAUUUGUCAAAGCUCAUUAAUUCGUGCAGCGCAGGGGUCGAGCUCUCGUCAUGAUGCGGCGAUCCGGGAAUAGCGAUUCAGCCCGUGGCUGGAAACGAAUUUAUUCCUUUUCUUUUUUAUAUGUACAGAUGUUGCCUCGUUCAGCGUGAAAUUCGAAAGUGGGCGUUUGCCUCGGCCUAUGCGGCAGCGUGUUAACGGUUUUCAUUUUCUUUUUUUCUUUUUUCUUUUCUUCCUCACCUUUAAAGAAUCAAAUCGACCAACAGAAUGAUGAUAGAGCGCAUAAUUCGCGGUUCAGGAUAGGGAUAAUUUGAAUGAUCUUUUGUGCGAACGGAAUUACGAUUAGGUGUUUCAAAGUAUAGUGUCCUGUAUUUUUUAUUUCAAGAAAAAAUAAAAUUAAAACAAACAAUUUGCCCGUGUAUAUUCUGACCGGAAAUGCAACGCCCGAGGAUGUCGUCGCUCUUGAAUGACUUAUAUAUUUUAAAUUUAUGAAAUGAGAAGGAACAAACACGACAAGGAAAAAAAAUUAUACAUGAUAUAUAUAAUAUAAAAAAAAAAAAAGAAGAAUUUAAAUAUGAUAAUAAAAAGUUUUAAUCCCCGCACUUACUAUUAUUGUAGAAAUGUAUUUUUUAUUUAUAAUAAACGAUAAUAUUUUUAAUUUUAAUGAUAACGUCCAUUAUGAUGUUGUCGAAUACGAAAAUGAUAACGACGAUGAUGGAGUUGGUGAUGGUUGUACUGAAUCACCGUGAUAAAAAUCGUUAAUUUUUAAAUAAGUAAUUAGAGAAAGAAGUGGAAAACAAACGAUGCAACUUAACCUCCUGUAAUGUUCCCGUUGAAAACGAGGCGAACCAUCACGAUGUAAUAAAUUUAGGUCGAUUGUAUGUAUACAUAAAUAUUUGAAAAUAUAUAUCAUAUGGAUAACGAUGAUGAAUAAUA